CAGCAGCCGCGGUAAUACGGAGGGAGCUAGCGUUGUUCGGAAUUACUGGGCGUAAAGCGCGCGUAGGCGGUUAUUUAAGUCAGGGGUAAAAGCCCGGUGCUCAACACCGGAACAGCCCUUGAGACUGGAUAACUUGAAUCCAGGAGAGGUGAGUGGAAUUCCGAGUGUAGAGGUGAAAUUCGUAGAUAUUCGGAAGAACACCAGUGGCGAAGGCGGCUCACUGGACUGGUAUUGACGCUGAGGUGCGAAAGCGUGGGGAGCAAACAGGAUUAGAUACCCGUGUAGUCCCUGUCUCUUAUAC
rnacentral:rRNA from 1 species